AUGAAUGAAAAUCUAUUCACCUUUUUUACUACCCCGACAAUCCUAGGUCUACUCGUAGUAGAUUAAUUAUUUUAUUUCCCACCAUGCUGUUUCCUACCUGAAAUCACCUAAUCAGUAAUCGACUGAUUUCCAUCCAACAAUGAUUAGUUCAACUUGUACUAAAACAAAUAAUAAUCACCCAUAACAUUAAAGGACAAACCUGAUCCCUUAUGCUGAUAUCCCUAAUUCUUUUUAUUGCUUCAACCAAUCUCCUCAGACUUCUUCCCCAUUCAUUUACACCAACUACACAACUAUCAAUAAAUCUAGGUAUAGCAAUCCCCUUAUGAGCAGGAACAGUAAUCACAGGCUUUCUCUUUAAAACCAAAAUAUCCUUAGCUCACUUUUUACCACAAGGCACACCUAUGCCACUUAUCCCUAUAUUAGUCUUCACUGAAACUGUUAGCCUAUUUAUUCAACCUAUAGCGUUGGCUGUGCGAUUAACAGCCACCAUUACAGCUGGUCACCUACUAAUACACUUAAUAGGAGAUGCCACACUAGUACUGUCAACUAUUAGUAUCCCCACAGCUUCAAUAUCUCUCAUUAUUCUAAUCCUACUGAGUAUUCUCGAAUUCGUCAUAGCUCUUAUUCAGGCUUAUGUCUUCACACUAUUAGUAAGCCUUUAUUUAUAUGAUAACACG
rnacentral:lncRNA from 1 species